rnacentral:tRNA from 1 species
GUGGGAGUGCCGGAGUCCGGUCAAACGGGCAGCCCUUAAGAGGCUGUGGCUUAUGCCUACGCAGGUUCAAAUCCUGUCUCCCACA